ACGACCUUACUUGAACAGGAUCUGUUCUAUAGGCUCGUACCAUUGUAUCCUUAAAUUCUAAGGAGACAGGAAUUCUAGUCUGGUUGAUGAAGCAUGGCCAUGUGACCAGAGCGUGAUUAAUGCCUUCCAUAGCUCCUCGAGCCGUGGAUGCAGUUGAUGAUCGUUCUUAGACCUGAUUUUCAGACCUAGGAUGGUCUCGUGGCUGUCUGACAGACU
rnacentral:snoRNA from 1 species